ensembl:misc_RNA Metazoa_SRP Metazoan signal recognition particle RNA
GCCAGGCAUGGUGGUGUGCGCCUGUAGUUCUAGCUACUCGGGAGGCUGAGGCAGGAGGAUGGCUUGAGCCCAGGAGUUUGAGGCUGCAGUGAGCUAUGAUGAUGCCACUGCAUUCUAGCCUGGGCGAUAGAGUGAGACUCUGUCUCUA